UUAGGCCAGAUGGCUGCCUUCGCCAUCGGUAUUCCUCCAGAUCUCUACGCAUUUCACCGCUACACCUGGAAUUCUACCAUCCUCUCCCAUACUCUAGCUUCCCAGUAUCGAAUGCAAUUCCCAAGUUAAGCUCGGGGAUUUCACAUCCGACUUAAAAAGCCGCCUACGCACGCUUUACGCCCAGUAAAUCCGAUUAACGCUCGCACCCUCUGUAUUACCGCGGCUGCUGGCACAGAGUUAGCCGGUGCUUAUUCUGCGAGUAACGUCCACUAUCCAGUAGUAUUAGUACUAGUAGCCUCCUCCUCGCUUAAAGUGCUUUACAACCAAAAGGCCUUCUUCACACACGCGGCAUGGCUGGAUCAGGCUUCCGCCCAUUGUCCAAUAUUCCCCACUGCUGCCUCCCGUAGGAGUCUGGGCCGUGUCUCAGUCCCAGUGUGGCGGAUCAUCCUCUCAGACCCGCUACAGAUCGUCGCCUUGGUAGGCCUUUACCCCACCAACUAGCUAAUCCGACUUAGGCUCAUCAUUUAGCGCAAGGUCCGAAGAUCCCCUGCUUUCUCCCGUAGGACGUAUGCGGUAUUAGCAUUCCUUUCGGAAUGUUGUCCCCCACUAAAUGGCAGAUUCCUAAGCAUUACUCACCCGUCCGCCGCUAAGAUAAGGUGCAAGCACCUCAUCUCCGCUCGACUUGCAUGUGUUAAGCCU
rnacentral:rRNA from 1 species